AUGAUUAUUUAAAAUUAAAAUAACGAAUUUAAUGCUAAAAUAAAUACACAAUGAAAAUAAUAUAAAUAAUAAAUAAGUAAUAACAUAUAAGAUAUACGUGCCAGGUUAUAAUAAUAUUUAUAAUAAUUAUUCAAAGAUAUAGACUUAUACUAGUUCUAAAAGAAAAUCUGUGGUAGGCCUUUAAACUUUUAUUAAAGCGGUAGGUAGUUAAGGGCGGUCGGUACUACGCAAUAGGAGUGGGAUUCAUUGCCGAUGUUGGUCUUCCAUUUUUAUCAAUGAACUUUUAAAUCGAUUGAUACGGUUUGUAGCAUCAUAAAGUUUUUUUGUUGUUUUUUUUAAAUAAAAAAAAUGUUUAUUAAAAACUUCUGUUCUUUAAAUCUGUAUAGAAUUUCUAGCAAAGGUAUUUAUAAUUGAAGUGUGGAAUUGUAGGGAUACAAUAUUUAAUCCUAUUUUUUGUAGUAACGUCUGUAAUCUAUAGAUUCUAUAAGGUAAGAUAAUGGUUAAAGUAAUGAAUAGCGUGGACGGUUGGAGACCGCUGAUUCAGUGCAAUUAGGCCUAUGCUUAAAAUAGAGUAAACGUUCUAAUGUAUUUUACAACUUCUACAAUUAGAUUACAAAAAAGGUGACUGGACACUGGGUGGACGGUAUUUCGAAAACGAUACUAACGAUUGUCUUAGAGAUUUGACAUUUUAUGUUUAUAUUUGAAUAAAAAACUACCUUAUUUUCUACACAGUGUUAACUCAGUUUUUUUUUCAAAUAUCAUUAUCUUACAAUAAUUUGGUUUUAUAUUUUGAGCACGACUUCAGCAGGAAUUCCCACACUCAACUCAAAUGUUUUUUUUUUUUU